rnacentral:rRNA from 1 species
GACGAACGCUGGCGGCGUGCUUAACACAUGCAAGUCGAACGGAAAGGCCCUGCUUUUGUGGGGUGCUCGAGUGGCGAACGGGUGAGUAACACGUGAGUAACCUGCCCUUGACUUUGGGAUAACUUCAGGAAACUGGGGCUAAUACCGGAUAGGAGCUCCUGCUGCCUGGUGGGGGUUGGAAAGUUUCGGCGGUUGGGGAUGUACUCGCGGCUUAUCAGCUUGUUGGUGGGGUAGUGGCUUACCAAGGCUUUGACGGGUAGCCGGCCUGAGAGGGUGACCGGGCACAUUGGGACUGAGAGACGGCCCAGAAGCCUACGGGAGGCAGCAGUGGGGAAUAUUGCAGAAUGGGCGGAAGCCUGAUGCAGCAACGCCGCGUGCGGGAUGACGGCCUUCGGGUUGUAAACCGCUUUCGACUGUGACGAAGAGGGAGUGACGGUAAUGGGUAAAGAAGCACCGGCUAACUACGUG